UAACAGAUGCCGGAGGAACACAUGUGAGC
rnacentral:piRNA from 1 species